rnacentral:rRNA from 1 species
UACGUAGGGGGCUAGCGUUGUCCGGAAUCAUUGGGCGUAAAGCGCGUGUAGGCGGCCCGGUAAGUCCGCUCUGAAAGUCGGGGGCUCAACCCUCGGAUGCGGGUGGAUACUGUCGGGCUUGAGUGCGGAAGAGGCGAGUGGAAUUCCUGGUGUAGCGGUGAAAUGCGCAGAUAUCAGGAGGAACACCAAUUGCGAAGGCAGCUCGCUGGGACGUUACUGACGCUGAGACGCGAAAGCGUGGGGAGCGAAUGGG